GAAAAAAAUUGGGAAGUAAACAGAGAAAAUGGCUUUGCAGCCAACAUUUACUGUUCGAAUUCGUACAGAACAAGAACAAGAUAUGGAUUGGAUGGUGCAACCAGAUCAGAUCACAUUUAAUCAGGCAUUAGUGAGAAAAUCAAUCUUACAAAAAACAACAUGAUAUUAAAUUAGGCUCUCAAACUGUACCACUAGUAUAGUUAUACCAUUGUUUACAAUGCUUUUCUGUGUAAAUAUCAGACUGACUUAACAAAUAACACUUUUAAUUUUGAGAAUAUAUAUAUACAUAUCUAUUUAUUUGUUGAUGAAAAUAAAGAUAUAUAUGUAUAUAUACAAUGAUAUACAUCAUGUCAUGUAUAGAAAAAAAUAUUUUACAUGUAUAUCACAAGCUGAAGCAAGUGAAGGAUGCAAGUAUUUUACAAGAACAGUGAAGGUGUGCUAAUUUAUCUAUAAUGACAUCCAACAAUAAAUAUUUUGAUAUAUGUCAAUAGUUUGAUGAUGACAACAACUCAGAAAUAUUUUAACCAGUAAUACAUAUAAUUGCAGAGAAACUAACAUGACCUCCCUUUCCAAAUAUUACACCUAAUAAAUUCUGAGUUUCUGAGGUCUUAAAAAUCUAUUUUAUUUCUUACUGUGUCCCGGCCUAAACUCUGCUGGAAAUUGGUAAUCAAACCUGUCAUGCAGUGACACAGAUCAAGACACUUUUAUAAAGGGGGAAGGGGGGCUGAUUGCCAAUAAAGGGGCCCUCUCCAGUCAUACAUUGUACUUCAGUUUUUCCCUACUAAAUCAACCAAACUUUUCCCUAAAAAAGGGGGGGGGGGGUAAUUAUGUCUCUGUUAUGAACAACUAUUUACAAGGGGUUAUAUCUGAACUCAAGACAUCAAGUUAAAAAGCAAAAAAGAAGGGAACUCUUUGAUAAUGUCUAAUAUAUAUAUGUACAUGUAUACAAAUUUAAAGUAAUUACAGUAUUAAACUGAUUUUUGAUUUUGAGUUUUUAAUAAAAAAAAAAAAAAUAUUGCAUACAUUUUUAAACAUUUUUUUAAAUGUAUGCAAUAUUUGGCUUUUUUGUUUUAACUUUUUGUUAGGUUCUAUAGGGGAUAUUAUAUUUAUAUACAAAAAACAAUGAUAUAUAAUAUGUACAACAUUAUCUUAUUAUAUUUGACAGGAAGUGAUAUCAAGAGUGCUGCCUCAAGCCACAAUAACAGCAUUUGAAUGUAUGUAAAUAUUUAAGUGUGUUUAUUUUUUUCUGCCUAUGUUAUGAUUGAUAUUAGCAUCUAUGAUUUUGAAAUUAUUAGAAAAUUAAGAAGAAGUGGUAAGAUUGCCAAUGAGAAUGCUCUCCAUCAGAGAUCAAAGUGUACAUGUUUAAAUCAGGGAGCAAUACAACUGUGAUUCCCUUAAAUUUUCAGCAACCAGUUAUUGAUGAAUAAUAUAUUAAUUGGGUAUGAGUUUUGAGAAAUAAAAGAAUUUUAUAACAUUACAACAAUAUUUUCAAUUUUAAUGUAAAACUGUGUUAAACUCAGAAAUUAUAUGUAUUGUGUUGUGUCUUCAUUUCAACAUAUUUUUUUCUAAUUGUUAUUAAAAUUAGGUAAUAAUAAGGUGGACUUUAAGGUGUACAUUAACUGCAUUGUUUUAACAAUGCUUUCUAGUUCACCUAAAUAGGUACUGGUGAACAGAAAAAGCUUGUGAAAGUUGUGUAAUUGCAUUGUAUAUAUAUAUAUAUAUACAGGGAGAGCUACUGAAUUAAGCAUUAAAAUGUAUUAAUUUUUUUUUUCAGAUGAAGAUGAAGAUGGGGACAGAAUUACAGUAAGAAGUGAUGAAGAGAUGAAGUCUAUGUUCCAAACCGUAGGUACAUCGGAUAUUCUAAAUUGCUUAAUAUUUAUUUAGCAGAACUCACUGCUUAUACAUGUUAUACAAAGAUAGAAUCAAAUCAAAGAGACGAAGAUGAAAUCCAAUCAAAGAGACAAAGAUGAAAUCAUAUCUAGGAGACAAAGAUGAAAUCAAAUCAAAGAGUCAAAUUAUGUUGAUCUUAAACUUCAGUUAUUUCUUAGCUUGGAAUAUUUUUUUUUAAACAUGAUUAUUCAGUGCUUUUUAUUGAAUAGGCAAAUGUAUACCUAAGAUUGUUUUUGGAAGUUUUAUUUUAAACUAAACUUAUAUGUUACAUGUAAGGCACAAAAAUGACAAUAUAAUUUAAACAGCUCUGAUAUUAAGAAAAUGUAGAUAGUAAACAUACUCACCCGGAUGUUUUCAUAAUCUCUAUAGAGUUAAAUAGUUCAGUGACUUAACUGAUAUUAUACUUAGGGCUUACAAUGAUGUGCAAUUAGGAUGAUAAACGAUUUCUUCCUGUCCAUCCAUUAAUUUUUUUAGCUUCUAAAGAGGUCAUAGAUUUGUAACUGUCACCUAUAUUGUCAGUGGUUUUUAGUUAGGAUGCAUUAUAUUUUAGGGGAGAGGGGAUUAAAGACAGGAAAUUGUAUUUGUUAAGAAUCAUUUUGAAAUGUUUGGUCUGUAAGAAGGAUCUUACAUAUUUCUUUUUUAGAGAAACAGAAUUUAUUUCUAUCUCCUCUAAUGUUCUAUAAGCCUACAUUAACAGAUCUAUUUUGCUAAAAAAAGUUUAACCACCUAUUUUAUAACCUUUUAACCUUGAUUUAGUGUGUCCCUUAUUAAUAUAUGGCUUAUUUACUCCUAUAUAAAUACAUUAUGAUAUUUCCUUCCACACUCUUUCAAAUUUCAAACAACAAGCAAAACCUACACCAACACACCUUCAACAAUUUGCAAAACCUAGACCCACACACUUUCAACAAUGAGCAAAGCUUAACACUAUAACUAGCUUUAAAUUUUAAAGGAUAUUAUCUUUUGUAUAAUUACAUUUUCUUGCAUUUCAGUAUUUUAACUUGUUAAGUGAUGAAGACUAUGCAAGAGGAUUAUUACCUCCCCUGAUUAUAUACCCUAGAGGUAAGUUAGAAAAAGAAUCCACUUAUGGAUAAUAACCUCCCCUUAUCAUAUACCCUAGGGGUAAGUUAGAAAAUGAUUCAUGAGGGGAUUAUUACCUCUCCUGAUUAUAUACCCUAGAGGUAAGUUAAAAAAUGAUUCAUAAGAGAAUCAUUACCUCCCCUGAUUAUAUACCCUAGGGGUAAGUUACAAAAAUGAUUCAUAAGAGGAUAAUUACCUCCCCUGAUUAUAUACCCUAGAGGUAAGUUACAAAAAUGAUUCAUAAGAGAAUUAUUACCUCUCCUGAUUAUAUACCCCACAGGUAAGUUACAAAAAUGAUUCAUAAGAGAAUUAUUACCCAUCCUGAUAAUAUACCCUAGAGGUAAGUUACAAAAAUGAUUUAUAAGAGAAUUAUUACCUCUCCUGAUUAUAUACCCUAGAGGUAAGUUACAAAAAUGGUUCAUAAGAGAAUUAUUACCUCUCCUGAUUAUAUACCCUAGAGGUAAGUUACAAAAAUGAUUCAUUACCUCCCCUGAUCAUACACAAGAUGUCAGUCAGACAAAUAAUUCACAAGAGGAUAGUUACCUCCCCUUAUCAUACCUGAGAUGUAAGUUGGAAAUAUAACUCAGGAUAGAGAUAUUACAUCCCCUGAUCAUACACUUAGAGGUGAGUUAGAAAAUGAUUCCCAAGAGGAUUAUUACCUCCUCUGAUCAUGUACCCAGGAGAUUUGUUAAAGAAUUAUUCACAAGAGGAUGAUUACCUCCCCUGAUAAUACCCUAGUGAAUAAUUAUCUCCCCUGAUCUUAUAUAUGAAGAGGAUUAGUUUAGAAAAAUGAUCCAAAAGAGCAUAGUUACCUCUCCUCAGUCCUGAUCAAAUGUUAGAAAAAUAAUUCACAAGAUUAGUAUUACUUCCCCUGAUCAAAUACCCUAAAAGUAAGUUAAAAAAAAUAAUCUCUCAAGGUAUAUUCUCAGAAUGAAAGCCUUUUGUUGACAGUAGCAUUUAAGAGAUAAGUGAGCUGUUUCUAGUUGCUAUGGUAUCAGGCUCCCAAGUUAAAAACGUACAAUAUUUGUUAAAAAAUUUCUGGGUUUCAUCAAAAAGAAAACUGUCUUUUUAACAGUCUUUUUGAUCACUGAUCUAUUUACAUUAAUAGAAAAAAAAAUUUUAUGAAGGUUUUGACUAUCCAAAACUAAGUACAAAUUAUUAUGCCCCACCUACGGUAGUAGAGGGGCAUUAUGUUUUCUGGUCUGUGCAUGUGUUUGUUCGUCCAUUCUUCUGUCUGUCCUAAUUCAGGUUAAAGUUUUGGUCAAGGUAGUUUUUUUAUGAAGUUGAUGUCCAAUGAACUGGAAAUUUAAUACACAUGUUCCCUAUGAUAUGAUCUUUCUAAUGUUUAUUCCAAAUUAGAUUUUUUACCCCAAUUUCACGGUCCACUAAACAUGGAAAAUGAUAGUGCCAGUGGGGAAUCUAUGUUCUUUGGACACAUUCUUUGUUUUUUUACGACCGCAAAAAUUAAAAAAAUUUUUGAUCGUAUAUUGGUAUCAUGUUGUCGUCGUCGUCAGCGUCGUCCUAAGACGGAUGAUUUCCGGAUAAUAACCAUUAUCUUUGAAUCAUGGACAUUUAACUUUAAACGUAAAGUUGUUCUUGAUUUAUUUAUAUUUCAGUUGGAAAAACACCACAAAACAGAAACAAGUUUGGUUUAAAGGUAAGUUUUGAAAGCUUAUAGAUUGAUUGAUUGGUGUUCUUACACCACUUUCAGCUAUAUUUCACUAUUUUUUAGCAGUCAGUUUUGUAUUUGUGGAGGAAGCAAGAGUGCACUAUGAAAACUACUAACCUUCAUUUGGAAAACAUGCAAUCCUAGUCAAUUAAGAUUGGAGUAUAUCACACCUGCCACAGGUGUUGACAGGCAAGUGAUUAUGAAGUUUGACUACUAAGACCACAUAGCCACAGAGGCCCACUGAUAGAUUGAAAUCUUUACCAUAUAUAGGGAUUUUCAAUUCUGGUACAUUGUAUUUAAAAAGAUGGUGUGCCAGCAAAGUGCACUAAAAUCAUUUUCAUAAAUGAUAUUUAAUUUAUUUUUAAAUAAAAAGGAAUUUAGAAAAAGGUUUUUAUCUCGUUAAUUCACUUAUUUUCAAAUGCCUUCUAUACAUUUUGUGUCUGUUUAUAAAGGACAUAUCAAAGCAGGAUUUGCAUUUGAUUGACAGUACAAUAAUGUUAAACUGGAGUCUGCAUUGAUUUUUAUCAUCCACCUGGUAUCUAUACUUAAUAGUGUAAUACUUUCCUUCUUGAGGGGCCUUGGUGGCCGAGUGUUCUAAGUAGUUACUACUGUAAUCACUGAGGUUGUGAGUUCGAACCCAGCUCUUGCGGGCACACUUGACUCCAAUCUUAAUUGACUAGGAUUGUCAGCUUUUCUAUCGAAGGUUGUGGUUUUCUAUGGACACUCUGGCUUCCUCCACCAAUAAAAAAUGGCCGCUAGGAGAUAGUCUAAAUGCAGUGCUUAAAAGUGGUAUUAAAACACCAAAAAUUGAAAUCAAAUCCUCCUUGAUUCUCUGGAUGAAGGAAUGAUUCAAAAUAAAACAUGUGUGCACUGUUGUAGUGUCACAGAAUAGAAGUUCCUUCAUAAUAUAAGUUCCAAAAGGAAGAAAUAUUCUGGAAUAUUAUUUCCACAGGAAUAAAUAUUACAGUAUAAGUUCCUAACAGAAUAAAUGGUAUAGAAUAUUUGUUCCAACAGGAAUAGGUAUUAUGACAUUGUUUAUAACAAAGUUUCCAGUGGAACUUCUGUUAGGCGGAACAAAUAUACGUUGACAGUAGAUACUUUUCACUGCGAUUGGCAUAUAGUACUGAUACAAGAGGUAUUGUAGGCACACAAUGAUCGUUUCAAAAAGCAAAAAUUAAAAGAUGUCAAAAUAAAGUUAUUUGUCUUUUUAAAUAGUCAGAAAUACUGAGCAAUAGGGUUUCCACUCAUCAAGGGAAAUAUUGUUUUAGGAAAAUGAAACACUGAAAAGAAAUCUAAUAUCAUAAAGGAAAGAGUGAAAAAAUGUUAACUGAUUUACUUGAAAAAUGAAUUAUUGAAUUUUUUUCUUGCAGAUUAAAACAGAUAAACAGUCAAUAUCCAAAUCAUCAAAACCUGUACUAAUGAUUUCAGACAUUCAGAAGUAAGUAUUAUAGAAGGUCCUCCAUAUACUGUAUCUCCCAUUGUCCAGUUAUGCACUUGUUCUAAAUUUUGAAUUUAAAGAACUUCUAAUCUCAUCAAGGAUAUUUUAUAAUUUGUUCACAAUUUUCUCAUUUCUCAACCGAUUGUGAAUAAAAUUGUUCUCACUAGUGAAAAUCUGUUCUCUGCAAACGAUUGGUCUAUUAGUAAAUUUAAUGAUGAUGUUGAAUUUCUUGGUUUCUUUUGAACUUCCUAUUGUGAAGUCAUGAAAAAAGACUGACAUGUCUGAUGACAUCACAUAUAAAGAACACACACUUCUGCAAAUCUUUGAAAAGGAAGGAUAAAAAUCAUUGGAGAAACAGAUUCCACAACUAUUUCUCAUUUAUUAUGAUAUUUCUCUGCAAGCCUUAAGCUUUAAAUUAUUUAAAAAUAUCAAAAUUUAACUGUCAUGGAGAAAUAUUGUAACAUACUUGAUGCAGUGGUGGAAUCUAUUAUAUCUACCAUACACCAAAUUUGAAAUGACAUAUAAUGUCAGUGUAAGGUCUUCAAUAAUUAUCCAGUGUUUUAAUAUUUUCAGAAAUAACAAUCCUAAAAAGAAUUGUCAAUCGAUGGACUGUGGCGACAGUGAUACAGGUCGUCCUCCUGGUCAGCCUUUACAUCCGGCUUCAGUCACACAUUAUGAUACAGUUCAACCAACUGGACAGUUUUCUCAGCCUGCAGAGGUUGGACACCAGCCUUUUAAUAUCAGACAGAACUUACAUCCAACUGAAAUGGGCCAUAAUCCUACAAAUACAGGACAAGCCUUGUAUCCUGCUGGUAUGGGACAAGGCUUACAUCCUGCAGAAGUCCGACCUCAACCUACUAAUCCAACAGGAAUGGAACAUAAGCUGAUCAGGACAUCAAGUGAUCUGAGACAGCUGUUAGCUACACAAGUCAUUUCAGAAGAAGAUCUACAAAUUUUAAAUUUAAUUGGUAAAGGCAAUGUAGGCUGUGUCUACAGGUAAAUUGAUAUUUAUCACUCAUUGCUGCCUGUAUAAUCUGUUUAUUUUCUUACAGCUCUUGUUAAGUAAAUCUAAAUACUUUAAUUUUUUACAAAUUCCCUUUCUGGUCACUAUAGUCAUAAAACUUUAAACGGUACUCUUGGUACAAAAUUUGAGCUUGAAACCAAAUUCAGUAUAUAUAUAUUUAUGACUGUCUUCAUUCUUUUGAAAAUUGAUCAUAUCUAAGAAAAUGAAUAUACCACACAAAGCAAAAUUAUAAACUAGAACAAUCAGAUCAUAGCAAUUUACAUGAAAUCACCUUGGUGUAAAUUAACCGGCGUUUUACGUUUCUGCAUAAAAAUUCCUACAUUUCCGCAUUUUUAUACGACCGCAAAUUUUGAAAAAAUUUUCGUCGUAUAUUGCUAUCACGUUGGCGUCUGUCGUCGUCGUCGUCGUCUCGUCGUCGUCGUCGGUCCGAAUACUUUUAGUUUUCGCACUCUAACUUUAGUAAAAGUAAAGAAAUCUAUGAAAUUUUAACACAAGGUUUAUGACCAUAAAAGGAAGGUUGGUAUUGAUUUUGGGAGUUUUGGUCCCAACAUUUUAGGAAUAAGGGGCCAAAAAGGGCCCAAAUAAGCAUUUUCUUGGUUUUCGCACCAUAACUUUAGUUUAAGUUAAUAGAAAUCUAUGAAAUUUUGACACAAGGUUUAUGACCACAAAAGAAAGGUUGGGAUUGAUUUUGGAGUUUUGGUUUCAAUAGUUUAGGAAUUAGGGGCCAAUAAAAGGGCCCAAAUAAGCAUUUUCUUGGUUUUUGCACAAUAACUUAGUUAAGUAAAUGAAAUCUAUGAAAUUUAAACACAAGUUUAUGACCACAAAAGGAAGGUUGGUAUUGAUUUUGGGAGUUUAGGACCCAACAGAUUUAGGAAUUAGGGCCAAAAAAGGACCAAAUAAGCAUUUUCUUGGUUUUCGCCCACUAUAACUUUAGUAUAAGUAAAUAGAAAUCUAUGAAAUUUAAACACAAGGUUAUGACCAUAAAAGGAAGGUUGGUAUUGAUUUUGGGAGUUUUGGUCCCAACAGUUUAGGAAAAAGGGGCCCAAAGGGUCCAAAAUUAAACUUUGUUUGAUUUCAUCAAAAUUGAAUAAUUGGGGUUCUUUGAUAUGCCGAAUCUAACUGUAUAUGUAGAUUCUCGACUUUUGGUCCAUUUUUAAAUUGGGUCUACAUUAAGGUCCAAAGGGUCCAAAUUAAACUUAGUUUGAUUUUGACAAAAAAUGAAUCGGUUGGUUCUUUGAUAUGUUGAAUCUAAAAAUGUACUUAGAUUCUUGAUAUUGAAGUUUUUUGGUCCAGUUUUCAAUUGGUCUACAUUAAGGUCCAAAGGGGUCCAAAAUUAAACUUUGUUUGAUUUCAUCAAAAAUUGAAUCCUUGGGGUUCUUUGAUAUGCCAAAUCUAACUGUGUAUGUAGAUUCUUCAUUUUUGGUCCCUGUUUUCAAAUUUCAAAUUCUACAUUAAAGUCCAAAGGGUCCAAAAUUAAACUAAGUUUAUUUUAACAAAAAUUGAAUUCUUGGGCCUCUUUGAUAUGCUGAAUCUAACAUGUACUUAGAUUUUUUGAUUAUGGCCCAGUUUCAAGUUGGUCCAAAUCAGGAUCUAAAAUUAUUAUAUUAAGUAUUGUGCAAUAGCAAGUCUUUUCAAUUGCACAGUAUUGGCAAUGGCAAGAAAUAUCUAAUUGCACAGUAUUGUGCAAUAGCAAGUAUUUUCAAUUGCUCAGUAUUGCGCAAUAAGCAAGAAAUAUCUAAUUGCACAAUAUUUGCAAUAGCAAGAAUUUUUUUAAUUGGAGUUAUCUUUCUUUGUCCAGAAUCAACUUAAAUCUUUGUUAUAUACAAUAUACAAUGUAUAUACACUUUUUACUACCAACUGAUAAAUUUAAAUAAUCUUUACCAUUCAGUGAUAACAAGCAGUUUUUUUACAUCUUAAUAUUUUAUUAUGUAUUUAAAUGAGUAGUUAUUGUUGCAAACUCCAUUAGAAAUUUGAAUUGAUAUCAGUUUUGAAAAAGGGAAACGGGGAUGUGAAAAAAAGGGGGGGGGGGUUAAAUUUUCUCAUUCAGAUUUCAUAAAUAAAAAGAAAAUUUCUUCAAACAUUUUUUGAGAGGAUUAAUAUUCAACAGCAUAGUGAUUUGCUCAAAGGCAAAAAAAACCUUUUAAGUUCAUUAGACCACAUUCAUUCUGUGUCAGAAACCUAUGCUGUGUCAACUAUUUAAUUUUAGAUUUAAAAAGUUUGAAGAAGAAAUCUUUAAUUGAUUUGUAAAAUCUUGGCAUUUGUUUUGUGUAAAAAAAAACCAUGUAAUGUCAAAAAUUUGAUCACAAUCCAAAUUCAGAGCUGUAUCAUGCUUGAAUGUUUCCAUACUUGCCCCAACUGUUCAGGGUUCGACCUCUGCGGUCGUAUAAAGCUGCGCCCUGCGGAGCACCUGGUUGUAGUACUCUUUUCCGCAGUUUUUUACAUUGAUUUUGUUAAAGGUUAUAUACGUUUCCACAUUUUUAUUUUUAAUUUAUGCCUCUUCCGUUUGCCAGGUAAAAACGGGGCAUGUUUUUUGUUCUUCGGUUGUGUUUGGUGUUUAACGCUACUUAAAACACUAUUGGGUUAUUCUGGCAUUAUUAUUCGUCUUAAUAUGUCGCCAAUUAUAAAAAAGAAGAUGUGGUAUGAUUGCCAAUGAAACAACUGUCCACAAGAGACCAAAAUGACACAGACAUUAACAACUAUAGGUCACCGUACAACCUUCAACAAUGAGCAAGGCCCAUACCGCACAGUCAGCUAUAAAAGGCCCCGAUAUGACAAUGUAAAACAAUUCAAAUGAGAAAACAAACGGCCUUAUUUAAAUAAAAAAAUGAACAAAAAACAAAUAUGUAACACAAAAACAAACGACAUCCACUGAAUUACAGGCUCCUGACUUGGGACAGGCACAUACAUAAAUAAUGCCUAUUUUUUCGUUUUUAAUUGUAAAUUGAUUGAUUGUUUGUUUGUUUGUUGCUAUAUUAUUUUUUUUACGCCCAGUUACAAAUAUAUGACCAGAGUUCAAAUCAGUGUGAAGUGGAUGUAAGCAAUCAUAAGCAACCUUCAGACCUUCAACAAUGACAAAACUCGAUACUGUAAAGUCGUCUAGAAAGGCCGGACAUGAAAUGUGUGAACCAAUUCAAACUAAAAAACUAAAUGUCAAAUUAUACAUUACAAAAUAUCAAAUAUGAGUAGAGACAUGAACCAUCAACAACCACUAACUACAGGCUCCUGACUUGGGACAGGCACAGUAAAGAAUAUGACAGGGUUGAUAUAAAAACAAAGAUGUGGUAUGAUGUCAAUGAGACAACUCUGCAUAAGAGACCAAAUCACACAGAGAUUAACAGCUAUAGGUCACUGUUCAGCCUUCAACAAUAAGCAAAGCCCAUACCACAUAGUCAGCUAUAAAAGGCACCAAAAUCACAAAUGUAAACAUGGUUUAACAAAACAAAAGAGAAAAUUUCCAAUAUCAUUGCUUUAUACCAAAGAAAUCUAGUUUUGUUAUUUUAAAUUUGGAUAAACAAGAUGUCCAUUUUGAUUAUAUUCCAGACAAACAUUAAUGAAAUCAAGAAAAAAUACUAUAAUAAAAGAAAGUCUUUUAUAUCAUUAUUACCAUUUUUUACAGGUGAAAUACAGGUAAAAAUGCAGAAAUGUAGUAUCUAUUUUAAAAGGGAGAUAAGUCAUGAUCAAUUUUGUAGACUUAAAUGAAGGGAAAAUUUUAUAAUAAACACUUGAUCAGGAUGUCAUGAAAUGGUAAUGAAAUCAAAAUAGAAACUAAAUUUGUAUUUCAUGAGAGGAAAUUGUUUUGUGCCAUUAUCAUUUAAAGUUUUUUGCUCAAAAUCAUGUCAGUAGUUUUGUCUGUUUUCUGUGUUUUGAUGUCAUAGGUAUGCUUCUUUAUUUCAGAGCAUUACACAAACCUACUCAAGCAAUAAUGGCUGUAAAGGUAAAAUAUAGUAUAUUUUUUAUUGUUGUUGAGUCAUAAUAAGUAAAUUCAGUGGGAUUUUUUUUUAGAUUUAAAUGUGAUAUUUAUUAGUGUAAUUUGAUGAAAUAAUAUCUUUUAUAUAUGUGUGAUGAACUGCCUGAAAUUAAUAUGAACUUUACUCAAAGGAAAGGAAAUUUCUGACUUAAGUAUGGAUUCAAAAUGAAAAACAUGUGUAAAUGAAAGACUUCACAAAUAUUACAUGUUCCUACCUUACAUAAGUCAUAUAUGUAAAUGAUAUAUUUGUAUAGAAGCAUUCCUUCCCUACAUCUGUUCUUGUUUUGAAGUGGAUAGUAUUGUUUUUAAGAUUUUCUUUACAUUUUUUUCAUAUUUAUGUUUCUAGGUAAUGCUGCUUGAUGUAUCAACAGAAGAACAAAGUAGUAUAUUGUCUGAAUUAGAUAUUUUAAAUAAAGUAAGUAGUUAGUAAGAUCAGAGUAAACAAACCAUGAUUGAAGUAUUUUUUUUUUACUGAAGACAUGUAAGAUAAAGCAAUAUGCUACUAAGAAGUUUAGUACAUAUGGAUAUGAACUUUACAGAUAUUGACCAGAGCUUCACAAUAUUUUUACAAUAUGUAACGAAGAUAACUAUCAAUCUUCUCCAGAAAACUUAUCUUGUGAAAAUGAUGUCAAAUCAGUCACUUUGGAGAAUAAGUCUAAAUAUUAAUUUAUUUUAGACUUUAAUUUGAUGAAGUUGUUUGCAGUGGCAGAUUUAGAGGGUUUUUCAGGGGCCCCCCCUUUUUCUGAGAAAAAUCUGGUUGGUUAUAUAGGGAAUCACUAAAGCAUGACUGGAACGGGCCCCCUCUUAGGCAGUCAGUGGGCCCCCACUUAUGAAAAUUUCUGGAUACGCCACUGGUUUGUCCUUCAAAAUUUUACAAAUUACUUGCAAACACUUUUUAUGAAACAAGGAGAUGUGGUAAUGAUUGCCAAUAAGAAAACUAUUUAUAUCCACCAUAAUUCGAAUGACUUGGAUGUAAGCAUUUAUAGAUCACUGUACAGCCUUCAUCAAUGAGUAAAACCCUUAUCAAACUGUUUUUGUUUGUUUACACAAUGUCUAUGAUGUCCAAAAUAUCUGACUGAAAAAGGUUCAAGUUUGAGAGGGAAUAAAAACAAACAAGCUGGUUUAUUCAUCCUGAUUUCAUAUAUAAUUAUAUCCAUUUCUUUCUGUUUCAGUGUAAUUCCCCUGUGAUAAUUGGCUUUUAUAAAGCUUUCUUUGUUGAAAACAGAAUUUCUAUUUGUACAGAAUUUAUGGAUGGUAUGUAUAUUAGAAGAACUAUAACAUUCACAAUUUAUUUUUUUAUAUACAGGCAUUAGUCUUUGAUUUUAUGGUCUGACAUUGCCUAACUGGCAAUGAAAAAUUCCCUGGACUGCACAGAUAUAUUUCUUUUUACUUUUAAUUUCAAAAUCAGAUAGCUAUUCUUUGUAUUACCAAUAUACUGCUAUUUGGGAAUUUGAAUAACAUAUUUUGAUGUGACAUCUUGUAGUUUUGGUACAGAAUUCUUUUAUAUGUCAUAUUAUGGAUUUAUAUAGAAAAAUGAAUUGAUUCCUGUGCAUAUAUUAGGGAACUUUUACAAUAUGUUUUAUUUUUUCAGGUGGAUCUUUAGAUAAGUAUGGUCUGAUUCCUGAGCAUAUAUUAGGGAGAAUGGCUGUAUCUAUGGUAGAAGGUUUAUGUUACAUGUGGGCUUUAAAAAUUCUACACAGAGGUAACUAAUGUAAUGAUAGAGAAUAGUUGUUGCUUAUUGUAUAUCUCCCUGUCUGAUUUAUAAGAGGUAUGGGUUGAAUGAUUUAUUGGACAACAAACCUUGCAUUACAAGGUCAUCAAAUAUAAACAUCUACAAGUAACAAGUUGGUACUUAUGGAUAGUUGAACAUUGAUGUUCAAUGACAAGCUCUUAAUCAUCCUUAUUCAAAAGUUACAGAGGAAUUCAAUAGAUAUGUAAAUUAUCUAAUACAAACUCUAACAAGUUCUUAGAGGCAUAAUGUCAACUACUUAUUAAAUUCCUGACUUGAAUAUAAAAAAGAAGAUGUGGUAUGAUUGUCGAUGAGACAACUCUCCCUAAGAGAUAAAUGACACAGAAAUAAACAACUAUAGGUCACUGUAUAGCCUUCACAAUGAGCAAACCCCAUUCUACAUAGUCACCUAUAAAAGGAUAGGAAAUGAUAAACUAAAACAAUUCAAACGAGAAAACUAACUGCUUAAUUAAUGUACAAAAAAAAUAAACGAAAAAAUUAUGCAACACAGCAACAAACAACAAGCACUGAAUUACAGGCUCCUGAAUUGGGACAGGCUCCUGACUUGGGACAGGCUCAUACAUAUGAUUCUGGAUGUUGCGGGGUUAAACUAUCCCCCAAAUUUUGGACAGUGUUGUAACAGAACAAUAUAAGAACUAACUAUAAAGAUCAGUUGAAAAAGGCUUAACUCAUCAGAUGGAUACAAAUAGAAAUACAUCUAACUAAAACACAAAGCAGGCACAUAUUUUGGAACACAGUAAAUCUGCCUGAUUUUAACUCAAGUAUGGUAUGGAUUUAGUUUAAUAGGUACCUACUGGCCACAUAACAGGAGUCAAUAAAGAUAUUAUUGUAUUGAAAAUUUCUAUCAAAAUUGUGUAAAUUAUUCCAAUCAAUACUAAUUUAAUAUGUUAAAAUGAACUAUUAAUUCUUCACAGUUCUAUUAAAUCUUCUGUUUGAUAUAUGAUAAAUGAUUAAAUGGGUGUGUUUGUUUUACACUACAGAUAUAAAACCUUCAAAUGUUCUAGUCAAUACCCAGGGUCAGGUCAAACUUUGUGAUUUUGGUGUCAGUGUGCAGGUAAUUAUUCUAAACUAAUUGAAAUAUGAUAUGAGAGAACAACAAAACAACACAUGAUGAGACCAAAUAAGGAAUGUAUUUUUAAAAUUACAAUUCAAAAGAUAAAAAAACGCAUGUUCAUUAUAACGGGACUGUUUAAUUUUUGGCGAAUUAAGGUUUUGAGUCAGACUCUGCUGUUCCCUGAACAUGAAAAUGGGAUAGUGCUGAUGGGGCCUGCAUGAUGUCUAAGGAUAAAAGUAGAACGAUAGUAUUCACAUAAUUUUUUUUAGCUUUUUUGCUCACCUGGCCUGUCACUUGGCGUCCGUCGUCUGUCAUCGUCCGUCGUCCUGCGUCUGUCGUCGUUAACUUUUACAAAAAUCUUCUCCUCUGAAACUGCUGGGCCAAAUUUAACCAAAUAUGGCCAAAAUCAUAAUUAGGGUAUUUAGUUUAAAAUUGUGUCCGGUGACCCGGCCAACCAACCAAGAUGGCUGCCAUGGCUAAAAAUAGAACAUAGGGGUAAAAUGCAGUUUUUGGCUUAUAACUCAAAAACCAAAGCAAUUAGAGCAAAUCUGACGGGGUAAAAUUGUUUAUUAGGUCAAGUCUAACUGCCCUGAAAUUUUCAGAUGAAUCGGACAACCCGUUGUUAGGUUGCUGCCCUGAAUUGGUAAUUUUAAGGAAAUUUUUGCUAUUUUUGGUUAUUUUCUUGAAUAUUAUUAUAGAUAGAGAUAAACUGUAAAUAUAAAAAAUGUUCAGCAAAGUAAGAUUUACAAAUAAGUAUACAGGUCCAAAAUGGUCAGUUGACCCCUUUAGGAGUUAUUGCCCUUUAUAGUCAAUUUUUAACCAUUUUUCGUAAAUCUUAGUUAUCUUUUUACAAAAUCUUCUCCUCUGAAACUACUGGGCCAAAUAAAAUUAAACUUGGCCACAAUCAUCAUUGGGGUAUUUAGUUUAAAAAUUGUGUCCAGUGACCAACCAAGAUGGCUGCCAUGGCUAAAAAUAGAACAUAGGGGUAAAAUGCAGUUUUGGGCUUAUAACUUAAAAACCAAAGCAUUUAGAGCAAAUCUGACAGAGGAAGAAAUUGUUUAUCAAGUCCAGAUCUAUCUGCUCUAAAAUUUUCAGAUGAAUUGGACAACUGGUUGUUAGGUUGCUGCCCCUGAAUUGGUAAUUUUAAGGAAAUUUUGCUGUUUUUGGUUAUUAUCUUGAAUACUAUUAUAGAUAGAGAUAACCUGUAAACAGCAAAUAAUGUUCAGAAAAGUAAGAUUUACAAAUAAGUCAACAUGACUGAAAUGGUCAAUUGACCCCUAAGGAGUUAUUGUCCUUUAUAGUCAAUUUUUAAAAAUUUUCAUAAAAUUUAUAAAUUUUUACUAACAUUUUCCACUGAAACUACUUGGCCAAGUUCAUUAUAGAUAGAGAUAAUUGUAAGCAGCAAGAAUGUUCAGUAAAGUAAGAUGUACAAACACAUCACCAUCACCAAAACACAAUUUUGUCAUGAAUCUAUCUGCGUCCUUUGUUUAAUAUUCACAUAUACCAAGGUGAGCGACACAGGCUCUUUAGAGCCUCUAGUUUGGUUAUUAUCUACAAUACUUUUAUAGAUAGAGAUAAACUGUAAACAGCAAUAAUGUUCAGCAAAGUAAGAUCCAAUAAUAAGUCAAUGUGACCACAAUGGUCAGUUGACCCCUUAAGAAGUUAUUGCCCUUUAUAGUCAAUUUUUAACUUUUUUCAUUAAUUUGGUAAAUUUUUGUAAAUUUUUACAUAACAUUUUCCUCUGUAUCUAAAGGGCCAAGUCUAUAUAGAUAGAAAAAUUGUAAGAAACAAGAAUGUUCAGUAAAGUAAGAUCUACAAACACAUCACCAUCAUCAAAACAGAAUUUUGUCAUGAAUUUAUCUGCGUCCUUUGUUUAACAUUCACAUAGACCAAGGUGAGCGACACAGGCUCUUUAGAGCCUCUAGUUUUAAAACAUAUUCUAAAUACUCUGAUUAACUGUCAUGAAAAGUUAAAUGCUUAUUUGUGGACCUCCUUAUAUUCUUGUAUAACAUAACCUUUAAACAUAAGCUUUUCAAACAAUUAAGAUUACAGACUUUUGAAUUGGUAUUUGGCUAACAUCUAAGAGAUAUUGCAAAGACUUGUUAGUUUUGAAACAGAAAACUGUUUCUGUGUAAGCUUAGAUGUCUUCCUGCAAACUAUUAUUUUUUUUUAAUACCUUGUGAAACAAAACAUCAAAAAAAGGCAUCUCAGCUUGUCAGUCUAGUACAAGUCAGGGUAUAUUCAUACUGCAUUUACAUGUUAUUGAGUUAAAUAUGCAUGUAAUAUUUUAAUUAGAACCACAGGCGGCCAUCAAACAAUCAUUUUUUUUUAAUUUUUGUCUGAACAAAUACAUCUAGUAUCUAUUUGAUAAAAACUUUAUUGUCCAGUAACAUUAUAAAGUAAUAUUUAAAAGAGAUAUAAUAUUCAUUGAUAUGUUUUGUAAUUUCAGCUUGUAAAGUCAAUAGCUAAAACCUAUAUAGGAACCAAUGCAUAUAUGGCUGUAAGUUUAUUUGAGAAGAUAUCUGACACUAAAAAUCAAACGUGUAUUGAAUACUAUUUAACAUUCAAAAAUGAAACUGGUUUGAAAAUUCAUGAAAUAUCUAUUUUUAUACGACCGCAAAGUUUUUCCGGUUGUAUAUUGGUAUGACGUUUGCUUUGGCGUCGUCGUCGUCGUCUGAAGAUAUUUGGUUUUCGCACUAUAACUUUAGUAUAAGCAAAUAGAAAUCUAUGAAAUUUACACACAAGGUUUAUGACAACAAAAGGAAGUUGGGAUUGAUUUCGGGAGUUUUGGUCCAACAGUUUAGAAUUAGGGGCCAAAAGGGUCCAAAAUUAAACUUUGUUUGAUUUCAUCAAAAAUUGAACUAUGGGGGUUCUUUGAUAUGUUGAAUCUAACCAUGUAUUGAGAUUCUUAAUUUUUGGUCCCGUUUUCAAAUUGGUCUACAUUAAGGUCCAAAGGGUCCAAAAUUAAACUUAGUUUGAUUUUAACAAAAAUUGAAUUCUUGGGGUUCUUUGAUAUGCUGAAUCUAAACAUGUACUUAUUUUUUUUUAUUAUGGGCCCAGUUUUCAAGUUGGUCAAAAUUGGGGUCCAAAAUUGAACUUUGUUUGAUUUCAACAAAAAUUGAAUAUAUGGGGUUCUGCGAUAUGCUGAAUCUAACCAUGUAUUUAGAUUUAUGGUAUUUGGGCUUGGUUAUCAAAUUGGUCCACAGUGAGGUCUGUAGGGUCCAAAAUAAAACUUUAUUUGAUUUCAUCAAAAAUUGAAUUCUUGGGGUUCUUUGAUAUGUUGAAUCUUACCAUGUAUUUAGAUUUUGGAUAUUGGAAUACCACAAAGGGAUGGUAAGAAUUGUCUUUGGGAGUUAUGGCUCAAACCGUUAAGGAAUAAGGUGCAAAAAAAGGGGGGAAAGGGUUUCCAGGUUAAUGGACAAUUACUUAAGUUCAAAACAUGAUUUAAAAGCAAUGUAAGGUUGGUAAUUGAAACUUAUUUGAAUAUCUCUUCUAAACUGCUUUGAAAUUAUGUUUAUUGGAAAUUUGCCAAAAACUUUAUAUUAAUGAAUUCAAUUGGAAAUUUCCUAGUUUAAUGAACUUCAUUGGAAAUUUGCCAAUAUAAAAUGUUGCUGAUGAAGCUUUUUUUGUUUAUCUCACCUAAACUGCUUUUAAAUUAUGUAUUUUGGAAAUUUGCCAAUAACUUUAGUUUAAUCAACUUCAUUGGAAAUUUGCCAAUAUAAAAUGUUGCUGAUAAAGCUUUUUUGUUUAUUUUUAGCCAUGAUUAUUAUUCUUUGAAAAUUGGAGUUAUCUUUCUUUGUCCAGAAUAGUAGUUGAAUCAACUUAAAUCAAUGCUAUAUACAAUGUACAAUGCAAUAUUUACUUUUACUACCAACUGAUAAAUUAAAACAAUCUUUGCCAUUCAUUGAUUACAAGCACUUUGAUUACCAUUCUAAAGUUAUGCCCCUUUACAAGUGGAAAAAUUGAAGAUUUUUUUCGUUUCUGUUCUCUUAAGGGCAUAUCCAACAGUUUAUUUUUGACGGUGAGAAUUUUUUCCCUUGAAGAUAUUUCAUUCUUCAAUUGACAGAGAAUCAAAUUUUCCCAAAAAAAAUAUUAGUCGUCGAUUUUGUUUUUUCAAAAAAUACUGCUGAAAAUUGAACAUUUUUGCAAUUUUGGAGUAAAAAACAUUUUUUAUUUAGAAAAAUUAAAUAUGAUUUUUUAAUCAACAUAUACUUUUAUAAUGGGGCACAAAUUAAAGCAAAAUAAUUCAAGAUGGUUAGAAAAAUCUAACUUUACCAUUUAAAGCAUUAAUUCUUACUCAAAAUAAAGCCAAAACGUUAUGAUGGACCCAAACAACGGCAAGAAAUGAACAUUUGAAAUGCACAUUUUUAAUUUAUUCAAAUAUUUCUAACGGUGUCGAUUUGACCAAAGUAAGAUAUGUUAUUCUUUGAAAAAAAUGGAAUGUAACAACGUUUUGAAAAAUAUUUGUCACCGUACUCGUUUUUGAGAAAAAUCGAGAAAUAUGAUAUUGUUUACUAAAUCCCUUCCGUAAGCCUCACAAAUUGCGCCAAAAAUGAAGACAUGUUUCGGGAAAUAACGUUAUAUUUCCCCGCUAAUUUUUCAAACGCAGUGCGACGGCAGACAAAUGUAUUUAUACACUGUGACUUUGUUGGAUAGUUGUCUCGAUAGCACUCAUAUCUCAUAUCGCAUCUUCUUAUUUAUAAUGAACUAGUAUAUGGACGAGAUAACAAUUCAGUUAGUUUUACAAUUAAGUGUUUUUCUUACACUGAUUUAUAUUACACCGUCUAUAAUUUAACAUAUCGAAAUUAAUAAAGAGCUAGUGAAAUUUUGCAACCAAACACUUGUCUAAAAACUCACUGACUCUGUAUUAUUUUUUCAUGUUGCAGUUUUGGGCUUUUUAUUCUUUAUAGGUUUCUAGCUUUAACAAAAAUAUGUAUGUUGACUCUUAGUGUUUUGAAUUAUAUGUGUCGUUCGGUUGCUGUCGUAUUAAUGUAUAUACAUUUAAAAUAUUUUUCAAAACAAAAGGAUUGAUUGGACAGGAUAUAGAAAUAUUCACAUCUCUGGACUUCUCGCGUCCGACAGUAUAUCUUUGCUAUAUUUGGGUGCGGCCGUUCAGCGGCUCGGAUGUAUAAAUUUACAGUCUCGUUUAGUCGAAAUAAAAAUGUCGUAUAUCCUAUGCAUAGUGUAGUGAGAGAUUCGCGCAUCUAUACGUUUAAAAACCAUCUAAAUAAAUGGUUCAAGGGAUAUCCGAUUUUUGAAUAAGAUCUCUUAACAACAACAAAUGUCACAUGAAUCUUCAAAUAAGUCACAUGGCUGAUUUUAACACAUCUGUUGCGCCAUUUGCAGUUGUAGAUGUCAUGAAAAACCCUUUAAUUUACAAAACAGAUCAGAAAGACAAUAACUUGAGAAUAAACUCCACCUAGUUUGGCUGCAUACAAUGUAACCACUGAUGUAGACUACUAUAUAACUAUAUAUUUAUUAUUGAUUAUUCAAACAAAUAAAUUCAAAGAGAAAGAUGCGGAAAGAAAUUCUAAAAUUUUCGUUUAAAAAUAAAAUAUAGAUAAUAUUUUUUUUACCAAAACUGGAAACACUGUUUAAGACAAUUAUCAGUUGAGAACUAAUGAUUAUGCAUCACUAUAUCACAACUAUAUGCAACUAAUAAAUUGAUUGCUCCCGUGCUCCAGUGGCAAAUAUAUCACGCAUAUUUACGACGAGGCGAAAGUGGAUCUGAAUAAAUGAUUGAUACAUUAUUAAGAUAAAGGGUUUGCUAGCGGUAAAACGUAUGCCGUACUAGAAUAAAGUUUAGUGAAAAAUGAUCUAAAAUUUUGGAUUAUGAUAUUUCGAUGGCUGUUUUUUUUCCUAUCCUAUUAUGGAACGCUGGGUUUUAAGAGGGGGUUGGUAAUAAGUCAAGACUUACAUCAAGACUUACACCGUUUUUUGUUUGUUUGUUAAAUUAUAUUUAUUUCCUCAUACAUAAGUAAACACUAAAAUCGUCAGAUAUUUUUUACUUGUUUGUCAGUGUAUAUAUUACAAUGUUUUCCUAUUUCAUUUUUUUUACGGUGUCGUUUUUCAUUUAAAGAGUUUCUGUAUAUUAGCACCUCAACGCAAAGCUAGAUGCUAGAUACAAUGAUAUAUGUUAGUUUAUGUCGUAUUUUAUUUUUCUCAAGAGACCAAUUUUUUUAAUCUUUCUCAAGUCAAAUCAAACUUUGAGUUUUCUAUCCUGAAUGACAAAAUCUCGGAUAAGUUUGAUAAAGAAUUAAUUACAAUUUGUGUUGCAUUCUAACGUUGUUCUCUACUGUACUGUAUAUUGAAGAUAAUUUUAAUAAAACGGAAACUUAAGUGAGUAUGGUCUAUAAUUAUAAAGAUGAAUUCUUUUAUAAUGGACCAAGAGGACAACAUCUUUUAAGAUUUUACUUCUAUUUCUGUUAAUAUUCUGUAUGAGUUUUCCGUUCCGCCGUGCCCUUUUCCUUUGAGGAAAAAAAACGCCCUUGCCAGGCGGAAAACAUAGCUAAUGGUGAUUCGUUAUGACGUCGUUGAAACAACGUUAAAUUACGGGAAACAAUAGACGAACGUUCGUUUGUUUUACCUCCCUGAAACUGUUGGAUAUGCCUUAACUUAAGUUUGUCUCAACUAAAUUAAGAAUGUUUAUAUAAUUCUUAGUACUCUUAACUCAGUUCAAGUCAAUUUUUUGGCAGGUUCACUUUUACAGUUCUUGAGUUAUAUCUUUUUAACAUUAUAGCGCGGGGCAUCAUCUGUGUCUUUGGACACAUUCCCAUGUUUUUUUUUAGAAGUUAAUAUUAAUUAAAUUAAUUUAAAUGAAUUUACUUUUUUUAAUAUUUAUGAUGUAUUUAAAUGAGUAGUUAUGUUGCAACUCCAUUAGAAAUUUGAAUUGAGAUCAUUUUUGGAAUAAGGGAAAGUGGGAGAUGAAAAAAAUUGGGGGGUGUUCAAUUUUUCAGAUUUCAGAAAUAAAAAGAAAAUUUCUUCUAACGUUUUUUUUUUGUAAGGAUUAAUAUCUAAACAGCAAAGUGAAUUGCUCAAAAGCAAAAAAAAAUGUCUAAGUUUAUUUCCACAUUCAUUCUGUGUCAGAACUAUGCUGUUCAACUAUUUAAUCACAAUCCAAAUUCAGAGCACUGUGGUCAUAUAAAUUUGCGCCCUGCAGAGCAUCUGGUUACCUUUGAUGUUAAUUUUAGAUAAUUUCCCAUAUUGAAACAUCACCUAUUUCUGUUUUAUGUUAUUUGGAAACAGCAGGACUUGUCUUCCCUUGAAGACUUAAACACAUUUAUAUCUUGCAUACUGAUGGCAAUUGUUAGAGUUGACAAUUAAGAAGAAAGUGCAUUUUUGGACUUGUGACUGUGCCAUCAUUAAAGUGACAUUAAAAAGAAGAAAAAAAAGACUAAUUCCUAGAAAAUAUUUGAUAAUCAAAAAAGAGCUAAUGCAUUGCUCAAAAUAUAAUUUGCCAGUGAAUAGAUUAAUUUGAGAUGCAAUUGUGUAUAAACCUUUUUUGAGUUGUGCAUAAUUUUAUUACAAUGUAUCAAGUAGUUAGAGUUUACAAAAUGUUUUGCCUUCCACUGAAUUUUCCUCUUAUUAAUUGACUGUAUUAGGUACCUAUGAAAAAUGCAUAUUGUAAACCAAAACUGCAAAGUUUUAUGAAUGUUCAUAAAUUUGACAUUUGAUUGUAAUAAUUAGAGAUAGUUUAAAAAGCCUUUAAUUUAAGGGCAAAUUUGGCUCCAAAUUGUACCUUCACCUUUAUCUGUAUGGUUUAAUAUCAAUGUACUUUUAGCCAGAGAGAAUAAGAGGAGAGGUAUAUAGCCAUCCUGCAGAAGUAUGGAGCUUUGGUAUAACUUUGUUUGAGGUAUGUGCUAGUAAAAAGUAGCUUUGGUAUAUUAUUUUUUCCUUAAAUAUUAAAAGACAGACCAUUAUAAAGAAUCAGUAAUGGUGAAAAAUUGGUCUCUCAACCACUCAAAAUAUUGUCAUCUAACAUGGGCAUAACUAAAAUUGAGACUGGAAAUGGCAAAUGUGUCAAAGAGACACCAACCAGACCAAAUAGUAAAAAAAAACAGCAGAAGAAAAUCAAUGGGUCUUCAACACAGCGAGAAAGUCCUGUAUAUAUUUAAUUAUAGAAAUGUGUAAUUAUUUACUCUUAAUGACAUAUUUUGCUUUUAAUACUUCCCAAUUUUUACAGAAAUUUUAGUAUUGAGUUGUUGUUAUUUUAUUUAGAAUUUAUAUCUUUUUGCAGCUUGUUCAAGGAAGAUUUCCAUAUGACAAUGUAAGGGUUGAGUAUAUUUAGAUAGUAUCUAAGAUAAUAAAUCAUAAUUAAAGAGUCAGAGAGAGAAUUAAACUAAAAUACAUACUACUGAUCCUGAAUAUAAUCAGAAGCUAUCUAUCCAUGUUCAUCCAACAUCAUGUUGUUUUGCUGACUCCCAGAAUCAUAAUUGAAAACUUCUACAGUGAUUGAAUGAGCAUUCAAACUUGGAUUUAACAAUAUUUAUUAGAUAGAUUAAAUAUUAUCGCUAUUUUGUGCUUUUUUCCUUUGAUCUUUUUUUGUGAUAAUUUUCAUAUCAUUCUACUCGCUUGAGAUGGAAAAUUAUCGCUAGAAACUAAGCAUGCAUGUGGCGUUGCUACGUGGCAUUGCUAUCGAAAUUGACAAGAAAUUGAUAUGAAAUUGACAACGUUGUCAUAGGUAAAAUAGUGAUAAAAAGAUUAUCAUUGUUCAUCUCAACUCGAUUGCCUUUCUCGGUUUCGCCGUCCCGGCUCAAGCGAGAAAAGCAAUCUCGUUGAGAUGAUCACCGAUAAUCUAUAAAUAUCUAUAAUACUAGAAUAACAAGGAUCCAAAAACAAACAGCAUUGCUCAUUUUAAUCAGUCUAAAAAAAAGAUCAGACAUUUAUUUGUUGAAAUAUAGAUUUGAUUGUUUGGAAAAAAAUAUUCAAUUUGAAUCUUCAUUUUCAACAUUCUCUUUGUGUAAAAUUAGUGGGAGACUAAAUAAUAAACCCAUUUCACUGUAAUUUUAGAAAGUGGGAUGAUUAUAAAGAGGCAGUUAAGCUAGGGCCUGCUCAAAUAUGAGACAGGGAAUUUGAAGGGGACACUUGUGAUGUUGAAUACUUGUCAUUUUGAUAAUAAGAUUAACUUUAGUUUCUAAAUGUGAAUAUCAAGAGCUGUCUGUAUAAUUUAAUAGGUUGUAAAUUAUUUCUCUAAAUUUAUAUUUUAAUUCAUUUAUAAAACCUUAAAUUCUGUUUCAGAUGGCUGUCUACAAUUCAGUAAGUAUUUUUCUUUUUCUUUCACUUUUGAAAGUAACAGUUGAAUGGGUAGUUUCUUUUAAUUUAGCUUUAAAGAAUAAAGAUGUGUGCAAUAUGCAUUUAAUAUAUGUUAUUCUAAUUUAAAGGCAAUGAAGUGUUGAGCUUGAAUAUCAGUUUGUGAUUGUUUUAUUUAAAAAUUUCUACGAUUAAUUUCACAAGACUGCCUUUACAAUACUCUGCAUUAAAUAUGAAUGAACAGUUGUGUUUUCAUCUUACUUCUUAUCACAUUGCAUAGUUCUUUCAAUAUUUUUCAGUAAAAAGCAAUAAUAUUUUGUGAUAAAUCUUCUUAUUUUCAGCCUAUGGCAUUACUAAACAGAAUAACUAGUGAAGUAAGUACAAAAUGUACAUUUCCUACUUUUUAUUUGUCCUAAUUAUACCCCUUUUUUGGACAAAGAAUGCAUUCAGGUUUACCCUUGUCCGUUUGUACAUACCUUAAUACCUUUCUGAAAUUUUUGUUUCUGUUUUCUAUGUUAAGUUUGCCUCAACCAAAUGUUAUGAAUCUUAUUUACAAUGCUUAAUACCAUUUUACAUCGAUCACAUUCAAAUUUUGGUGGUUUUACUUUUACCGUAAUUGAGUUAUAUGUUCCUUUCUAAAUACCAAAAAUGCUGAAUUUGAUGUUUCAACUCUCCAACUUUACUAGCCUCAACCAAAUGGUAUUAAACUCAAUGCUUAUCACCACCUAAGACAAAUUAAAACAAUGAUUUUAGUCAUUAUCAAUGAAAUAGCAUAGAAUUCUUUUAAAGAUCUUUCACAUAAAAUUACAGUUCUUCUGCAGGAAGCAACAUAAAGGCCUGCAAUAAAAUUGUUAUUUUUAAAUGGAUGGUGAUUUCUUUGUAAAACUUUGUGUUGUGAAACAUCAUUGCUUGGUCAGAUGGACAAAAUGUUGAUAUGCUAUUUCUUUAUUUCAAUCUCAAAAUGAUUUCUACAAUACUUUGACUUUCAGGAAUCCUAAAUGCUCAUGAUGUUUUAAAAAGGCUGUGAUCAUUUCUAUAUAAUUGCCUAACACAAACUAAGCAAUGUUUAGUCUAACAUAACUUUGUGAUUUUUUAAGACAAUGAUAUUUUUUUUCAGCCAACUCCAAGACUUCCUGAAAAUGAAUAUUCACCUGAUUUCAUUGAUUUUGUAUCAAGAUGGUAAGUUUAAAGCAUGAUAUUUGUAUUUUUAUUUUAUUGUUGGAGGCCAUUUAAAAAUAUUAGCAACCUUUUCUAAAAAUAGAAACCUGAGUUAUCAAGUCAUAACUUGUUAAGAUCAGUCAUUUAAUUCUUGGAUAUUCCAAAACACAUUAAUGGUGACUUAUAAUUCAGGUUUGUCCAAUUUUUGUGUUUACAACUCUGUCGCAAUAAUAAAGACCUUGCAAUAAUUUCUGAAUAUACAUUAUUUAAGUUACUUGUUUAUUAUUAAGGUUGCUGUUUCAUUGCAGUGUUCCAAACAUUUCCAUUUUCAUGAUUAUCACAUAUGUCAAAAAUUGAACUUAAGGGGGCUCACAGGUGUAAAUAUUUUUUUUUUUUUUUUAAAUAUAGGAUUUAGGUAUAUUUUUCUAUAAAUGAACUUUAUCAUAUACUUAAUAGAAAAAUGAAAUAAAAAAUGGGGUCACCGUUCAUUUAAGGUCACAAUCUGCCUCCAAAGAAGCAUACAUUUUGUUAAUGUCCUUUUUUUCUGUUGAACUAAUAGGAGAAAUAGAGGUAAUAUCGAAAUAAAAAAAGAACUAAAUUAGAACAAUCGCUUAAGCUUUACAAUUAUUUAGUUUAUGUAAAGCUUAUUAGGAAAUAACAAUAAAAAAUAUAAGUCAUUGAUGAGUUUACAAACAUAUUUCAAUUUUAAUGCCAAAAAUGGCAUUUUUGCACCAAAGGGAGGUAAUUUGGAGCUUUUUCAAUGAUAUAAACAUUUUAAAAGUUAUCUGGGGCCAAACCGAAUAAUUUUUUGUUGUUGAUUAAUGUACCAUAUCAUAAAGCAAUAAUUAAUAUUAUUGUAUAGCAAUAUAAUAUUUCCCACAGAAAGUAACCAAAAGUUAGCGUGCAAUAAAUUCUAAUAUUGCACUAGUGCAAUAAAUCUUCAAAAUUUAUGACGUCAUCAACGACAAAUUCUUAGUUUAAACCAAUUUUUACUUUUAAAUAUUAUAUUGCUAUACAAUAAAAGGGUUAUUGCAUGAAUAUUGGGGAAUAUUGUCCCUCAUAGAACAUAUAUUGCACUCGCAAGCUCGUGCAAUAUAAAAUUCUACUCGGGACAAUAUUCCCCAAUAUUCAUGCAAUAACCCUAUAGUAUUAUAGAUAAAAUUUGUAAUGAAAAAACAAAUGUUUAAUUUUUUGCUGAAAUUUUUGUACCUGCCAGCCUCCUUAAACAUAACACAACAAAAACCAUGGGAUAUAUGAUAAAAGAAUCAAUAUAAAUUUUGUAGGGAUGAAGAUACUGUCACUGUAAGCGAUUAGAGAUUACAUCUUGCAUAUAUCGUUGAUUUAUAUAACAGUAUUCAAUAUAUACUGAUGCUGGUACCCUAAAUGAAGAAAAUCUAUGAAAUCCAGGGGUGGAUUCAGCUCAUUUUAAAAAGGGGGUUCCAACAUAUGUCCCUAUUCAAAUGCAUUGAUCGACUAAAAAAGGGAGGUUCAAACCCCUAGAACCCCCUUCUAGAUCUGCCACUGAAAUAAUAAAAAUUGUGAUGGUAGGGGUGAUUUGAUUAGGCAGGAAAAAAAACUAUCAAAAAUGUUGGUCCCAAUCAAUUAACUACUCUGGUUCAAAAUGAGUAAUUUUUUGUUUUAUUUUUCAAACAGUAUGCAGCCAAUUCCAAGUCACAGAUUAAAAAUGGAAGAAUUGUCUGUAAGUAUUGACCAUAUUGUAUUUUAGUAAUCAAUCAGGGAUCUCCAUGGAUGAAAAUUGAAUGAUGGAGGAAUUUUCACCAUUACAAACCGUGUCUACGCUGUACAGUGUAGCGCAAUCGGAAGUAUUUUUUCCCUCCAUACAAGGAAUGGUGAACAUGCUAAAUCAUUGCUUAUUUAAAUUAUUUUUAUUUGAAUUUUCUUUAUAGAAUUAGAAGUAUCAAUAUUUUCAUUUAUUGCCGUUUUUAACCAUUCAAAUGCCAAGUCUUCAUGGUCCCCCUUAGUCGAGAAUGACCAAAAGAUGUCAUGAAGGCCCCCAUGUAGAUUUCUUGUAUUUUUGGUAAUUAUUAUGGGGGUUAAAAAUCAUAUGAUGUGGAGCUUAUUUUUCAUGGACACUGUCAAAUUCAGAACCCAUUACCGGUAUGGUUGAUUUGCAGCAACAACAAAACGAUUCGUACGGGUUAUGUAAAAGGUUAAAGAGAUUUGUAAAGCAAACGUUGACAAAUGAAAAGGGUUUUAAUGACUUUAUAUGGCAAAUUGAUGCUGUGCAACAUGCACCUUUCGAGUCUGAAUAGAAACCGGAAACUCGGAUGUAUCUAUUUGAUUGUAAUAUAUGAAAUGAAUUCGGAAUUACGAUACGAUAUUUCUUUACAGGAAAUAUUUAAAGUUUUUACUUUUAAACUUUUAAAGUAAUUCUAAAUUAUCGUUACAGCAGUACUCGAGUUAUUUGCGAUGAAAUAAUAAUUACUGUUUUGCGUCUUAUUUUGUACUUCUUAAAAAAGGGGGUUGCUGAUUGCGUAAGUCAAAAUGAACCACGUGUUCGACUUGUUAAACUGUUUUCUUUGUAACUGGAUCAUUAAUUUAUUUAUUUAAUCUAAAUUAUCAUAAUCAUUUGCUGAAACUUAGUUGAUUAAUUCGACAAAUGGAUCGUCUAUCCUCAGAUAGUAUUCUCCUGUCUGGUUUGUUGAUCUACCUGUACAUGCUCAGGUACAAGUGAUUAGCGAUCUUAAUCCGGAUAUCCCUCAGGCGUUAGAACUGUAUUGGAUUAUAACAUAAAAAGCCUAAGGGUUAUGCAAUUACAUGCAUUUGAUUAUAAUUGAUAAAAAAAAAAUGGCGUCGGGCUGCAAAAAACGAUGAAGUUUUGAACAAUGGCGGAAGACAAUUUAACGAUGGAGCAAGACAAUUUAACGAUGGCGCGAGUCAUUUGACGAUGGCGCAAGACAUUUGAACGAUGGCGGGGCGCCAUCGUUAAACAGGCCAUGGAGAUCCCUGAAUCAAUAUUGGGGAAAUUGUAUUAUCUGUUUCUAUUCAAAAUUAAACCUCAUUUAUGUACAUGAUAUGAGUAAGUUAAUAUUAAAAUCGUAAUUUAUAGUUAUUGUAUAUUUUAUAUAAGAGGAAAUCUAAGUAAUUGUAUUUGUAUUUGAAGAUAUCCCACAAAUUUAUAUGGUGAUUAUAUCAGUUAUACAACUAAGAACACACACAUAUUGCUUGUGCUAUGCUCAUUUUCAUUCCAAAUUAGAAAAAGCAUAAACGUUAAGAUUGAUAUCAACCAAAAUUUGAAAAAUGAUACAUAUAAAAGGAUUUUUUGGGAUGUCAUUUUAUAAUAAAAUUUCUUUACAAUUUUAAAUAAGCAUUCCAAAAACUUUUAAAGUAAUUGAAUAAUCCUUACUCAAAUAACUCAAUAUUCAUUGUUUCAUUUAUAUUGAAAAUUAACAAAAUGUUGACUUCAAAAGUUUAACGAGUUUUACAAAAACAUAAUAUGUCUUAUUAUGAAACAAAUCAUUAAACAACUGAACACUGGAUGAGAGUGAAUAUCUUUGAUUUGGUUUUAUGUUGUGUUGGUGCCUAAAAUAGAUUUACACUGCACUCGUUCUAUUUGAGCAGUCAAAUUGCGUUGACCGUAUAUUUCUAUGUCAUAUACAGUCACUGACAUGAUAUCACUUUUCCUCAUGAAUAUUUAAAAUAGAAAUUGCCGAGAUUAUAAUUAAUUAUUCAUACGACUUAUUCAACCUGUUCUUGUUUUUAAUGUAUACAACAACUCAAACUUAUUUCUUUUGCAAUUUUUAUAUAAAAAAAAAAACAUAUUUCACUUGUUAAUAUGUUUGGUCUGCAUACUAUAAAUCAUUAUAUUUAUGUUUAUUGUUGAUAUUUUAGUUCAUUCUUAAACAAAUUCGUUCACCAUCGAUUGUGAAUUUCAACAGGUAAAUGUACAUUUCAUCGUGUUGUAUAUUUCUCCGCCUGCAUGAUAUGAGGCCUUUCUAUAAAAGGGGGAAGUUUCCCAAUAUUUAAAUCAAUGGUGACAUUAACACAUUAAACAACAAUUGAAAAUGUUUUUUUUAGAUUGCAGUAUAAAGACAAUAAUAGUGCAUUGACUUGACAUAUCAACGAUAUAAGGAUUCAGCCCGAAACGGGGAAAAAGCUCGGCAGAGCCUCGCAUUUCCCCGUUUCUAAGCCUCAUCCUUAUAUCGUUGAUAUGUCAAGUCAAUGCACUAUUAUUGUCUAUAUAUGAAAAAUAUAAUGAAAAUUCAGAGUAAAGGAAUUUCUCAUGUUAGGAUUUUUAAUGCUUCUGAAUGCGUAGUAAGAAAGGAAAUGCAAUGUAACACAUCACUUAUUGAGUCUUGUAAAAUUUUAUUAACUAUUCCUUAUUUGAAUGCAAUUAAAGCUACACAUGCCAUAUUUAUAUGUAAGAACUCUUUUUUCAGCUUCACAGUUUUAUACAAAGACACAAUGAUGGAAACCUAGCUGUAACAGCUGCCUGGAUACAAGCCAAUCUUGCCCAAAGACAAUCUAUAUCAUAGCAUAUUAUAUGUAUUGUUUAUAAACUAUACAAAAGCCCAAAAGCUGUGAUAGAAGCAUUAUGUAAACCAGUCAAGGAAACUUAAAGUCAUGUUGACAUAAUUUUCCUCUGUUAUUUGUUAGAUCACCUGUGUUGAUCCACGAUUUAUAUUUUGCCAAGUGCCUUGAGUAAGUAAAGAUAAAAAAAAGUGAAUGGUCUAUUGUUGCAACAUUUUCCCUGAAAAAUAGACCAGUAUGCAGACACCAAUGAUGAUCUAUUUAUCUGUAUUGGCUACAAAAGUAAGGGUCACGUUUUCGUAUGUUGGUGUUAUUCUUUUUAUAAAGAUAACAAGAUGGGGUUUGAUUGCCAAUGAGACAAAUUUUCACCAGAGACCAAAUGACAUAGUAGUAAACAACUAUAACUGUUUGUCUCAAUACCUCUCAGUCUUGUACCAGGUGAAAGAUUCUGGUUUCAAGGGUAGUUUACUUUGAAGUUGUGGUUACUUCAACUUGAAAUUUAG
rnacentral:lncRNA from 1 species